AUUGAACGCUGGCGGCAUGCUUUACACAUGCAAGUCGAACGGCAGCGCGGGCUUCGGCCUGGCGGCGAGUGGCGAACGGGUGAGUAAUGCAUCGGAACGUGCCCAGUAGUGGGGGAUAGCCCGGCGAAAGCCGGAUUAAUACCGCAUACGACCUGAGGGUGAAAGCGGGGGACCGAAAGGCCUCGCGCUAUUGGAGCGGCCGAUGUCGGAUUAGCUAGUUGGUGGGGUAAAGGCUUACCAAGGCGACGAUCCGUAGCUGGUCUGAGAGGACGACCAGCCACACUGGGACUGAGACACGGCCCAGACUCCUACGGGAGGCAGCAGUGGGGAAUUUUGGACAAUGGGGGCAACCCUGAUCCAGCCAUGCCGCGUGCGGGAAGAAGGCCUUCGGGUUGUAAACCGCUUUUGUUCGAGAAGAAAUCCUCUGGGCUAAUACCCCGGGGGGAUGACGGUACCGGAAGAAUAAGCACCGGCUAACUACGUG
rnacentral:rRNA from 1 species